GGAUAGAGGCGCGGUUUGCCAUUAGUAAUAUGCAAUUUUGACGGACAGGUCUGCAUAUAAAAGGGGCAAUCGCCGAAAUGGAAAAUUUUCUGUCAAAAAAUUUUCUGUUGGUUUGCAGUAAAAUAUAUUGCAGACUGUCACCAUUGGUGGAGGGCUAUCGGUU
rnacentral:ncRNA from 1 species